GAUGAACGCUAGCUACAGGCUUAACACAUGCAAGUCGAGGGGCAGCAUGGUCUUAGCUUGCUAAGGCCGAUGGCGACCGGCGCACGGGUGAGUAACACGUAUCCAACCUGCCGUCUACUCUUGGACAGCCUUCUGAAAGGAAGAUUAAUACAAGAUGGCAUCAUGAGUCCGCAUGUUCACAUGAUUAAAGGUAUUCCGGUAGACGAGGGGGAUGCGUUCCAUUAGAUAGUAGGCGGGGUAACGGCCCACCUAGUCUUCGAUGGAUAGGGGUUCUGAGAGGAAGGUCCCCCGCAUUGGAGCUAAGACACAGUCCACGCUCCUACGGAGCGCAGCAGUGAGGAAUAUAAGUCGAUGAGCGCUGGCCUGAACCAGCCGAGUAGCGUGAAGGAGGACUGCCCUAUGAGUUGUAAUCUUCUUUUAUAAAAGAAUAAAGUCGGGUAUGUAUACCCGUUUGCAUGUACUUUAUGAAUAAGGAUCGGCUAACUCCGUG
rnacentral:rRNA from 1 species